rnacentral:rRNA from 1 species
GAUGAACGCUAGCGGCAGGCCUAAUACAUGCAAGUCGAACGGUGUAGCAAUACACAGUGGCGCACGGGUGCGUAACACGUAUGCAACCUACCUUACAUUGGGGGAUCGCCUUUCGAAAGGGAGAUUAAUACCGCAUAAGACAGUAACUAGGCAUCUAGUGGCUGUUAAAGAUUUAUCGAUGUAAGCUGGGCAUGCGUCCAAUUAGUUAGUUGGCUAGGUAAUGGCUCACCAAGACGAUGAUUUGUAGGGGAACUGAGAGGUCAAUCCCCCACACUGGGACGGAGAUACGGUCCAGACUCCUACGGGAGGCAGCAGUAGGGAGUAUUGGGCAAUUGGCGCAAGACUGACCCAGCCAUGCCGCGUGCAGGAAGAAGGCGUUAUGCGUUGUAAACUGCUUUUAUACAGGAAGAAACGAGCCUUGCGAGGGGCAUUGACGGUACUGUAUGAAUAAGCACCGGCUAACUCCGUGCCAGCCGCCGCGGUAACAC